rnacentral:rRNA from 1 species
AAUGAACGCUGGCGGCGUGCCUAAUACAUGCAAGUCGAGCGAACAGACGAGGAGCUUGCUCCUCUGACGUUAGCGGCGGACGGGUGAGUAACACGUGGAUAACCUACCUAUAAGACUGGGAUAACUUCGGGAAACCGGAGCUAAUACCAGCUAAUAUAUUGAACCGCAUGGUUCAAUAGUGAAAGACGGUUUUGCUGUCACUUAUAGAUGGAUCCGCGCCGCAUUAGCUAGUUGGUAAGGUAACGGCUUACCAAGGCAACGAUGCGUAGCCGACCUGAGAGGGUGAUCGGCCACACUGGAACUGAGACACGGUCCAGACUCCUACGGGAGGCAGCAGUAGGGAAUCUUCGGCAAUGGGCGAAAGCCUGACGGAGCAACGCCGCGUGAGUGAUGAAGGUCUUCGGAUCGUAAAACUCUGUUAUUAGGGAAGAACAACUGUGUAAGUAACUAUGCACGUUUUGACGGUACCUAAUCAGAAAGCCCCGGCUAACUACGUG